UAGGGCCUACGGGGCGCAGCAGUAGGGAAUCUUCCACAAUGGACGAAAGUCUGAUGGAGCAACGCCGCGUGAGUGAAGAAGGGUUUCGGCUCGUAAAGCUCUGUUGGUAGUGAAGAAAGAUAGAGGGAGUAACCGGCCUUUUUUUGACGGUAAUUACUUAGAAAGUCACGGCCAACUACGUGGCAGCAGCCGCGGUAAUACGUAGGUGGGAAGCGUUGUCCGGUAUUAUUGGGAGGUAAGCGAGUGCAGGCGGGU
rnacentral:rRNA from 1 species